GACGAACGCUGGCGGCGUGCCUAAUACAUGCAAGUAGAACGCUGAAGGAGGAGCUUGCUUCUCUGGAUGAGUUGCGAACGGGUGAGUAACGCGUAGGUAACCUGCCUGGUAGCGGGGGAUAACUAUUGGAAACGAUAGCUAAUACCGCAUAAUAGCAGUUGUUGCAUGACAACUGUUUGAAAGGUGCAAUUGCACCACUACCAGAUGGACCUGCGUUGUAUUAGCUAGUUGGUGGGGUAACGGCUCACCAAGGCGACGAUACAUAGCCGACCUGAGAGGGUGAACGGCCACACUGGGACUGAGACACGGCCCAGACUCCUACGGGAGGCAGCAGUAGGGAAUCUUCGGCAAUGGACGGAAGUCUGACCGAGCAACGCCGCGGGAGUGAAGAAGGUUUUCGGAUCGGAAAGCUCUGUUGUAAGAGAAGAACGAGUGUGAGAGUGGAAAGUUCACACUGUGACGGUAUCUUACCAGAAAGGGACGGCUAACUACGUG
rnacentral:rRNA from 1 species